AGAUUACAACCACUACUUUAAGACCAUCGAGGACUUGCGCGACAAGAUUCUUGGUGCCACCAUUGACAACUCCAAGAUUGUCCUACAGAUUGACAAUGCUCGCCUGGCUGCAGAUG
rnacentral:pre_miRNA from 7 species